rnacentral:hammerhead_ribozyme from 1 species
AUCCAGCUGACGAGUCCCAAAUAGGACGAGACGUGCAUCCUAGAU